AACGCACCUUGCACCCUUUGGCAUUCCGAAGGGUAUGCUCGUUUGAGUGUCAUUGUACUCUCACACUCCCAAUUGCUUUAGAUUGGGAGCGGUGGACUUGGGUGUUGCUGCUUGACUGUGGCUCACCUGAAAUAUGUUAGUGCAUCUCUUGAUUGGACAUAGUACGGCGUGAUAAGUGUCUUCGCCGGCUCCUCGCAGAGAGGGUGGCCGAUCGGGAGCUCUGUUGCUUCAAACUGUCCUCGGACAAUCUUCUGGCGACUUGACCUCAAAUCGAGUAGGACUACCCGCUGAACUUAA
rnacentral:misc_RNA from 1 species